rnacentral:rRNA from 1 species
AUUGAACGCUGGCGGCAGGCCUAACACUUGCAAGUCGAACGGUAACAGGAAACAGCUUGCUGUUUCGCUGACGAGUGGCGGACGGGUGAGUAAUGUCUGGGAAACUGCCUGAUGGAGGGGGAUAACUACUGGAAACGGUAGCUAAUACCGCAUAACGUCGCAAGACCAAAGAGGGGGACCUUCGGGCCUCUUGCCAUCGGAUGUGCCCAGAUGGGAUUAGCUAGUAGGUGGGGUAACGGCUCACCUAGGCGACGAUCCCUAGCUGGUCUGAGAGGAUGACCAGCCACACUGGAACUGAGACACGGUCCAGACUCCUACGGGAGGCAGCAGUGGGGAAUAUUGCACAAUGGGCGCAAGCCUGAUGCAGCCAUGCCGCGUGUAUGAAGAAGGCCUUCGGGUUGUAAAGUACUUUCAGCGGGGAGGAAGGGAGUAAAGUUAAUACCUUUACUCAUUGACGUUACCCGCAGAAGAAGCACCGGCUAACUCCGUG